rnacentral:misc_RNA from 1 species
UUUCCGUAGGUGAACCUGCGGAAGGAUCAUUCAUAAUAAGUGUUUUAUGGCACUUUUUUAAAUCCAUAUCCACCUUGUGUGCAAUGUCAGGGUUGAUUUUUCUCUCGAGAGGAUCAACCCCAAACAUCAACUAUAUCUCAACUCUUUGUCUGAAAAAUAUUAUGAAUAAAACAAUUCAAAACACAACUUUCAACAACGGAUCUCUUGGCUCUC